rnacentral:rRNA from 1 species
GACGAACGCUGGCGGCGUGCCUAAUACAUGCAAGUAGAACGCUGAAGGAGGAGCUUGCUUCUCUGGAUGAGUUGCGAACGGGUGAGUAACGCGUAAGUAACCUGCCUGGUAGCGGGGGAUAACUAUUGGAAACGAUAGCUAAUACCGCAUAAUAGCAGUUAUUGCAUGAUAACUGUUUGAAAGGUGCAAUUGCACCACUACCAGAUGGACCUGCGUUGUAUUAGCUAGUUGGUGGGGUAACGGCUCACCAAGGCGACUAUACAUAGCCGACCUGCGAGGGAGAUCGGCCAAACUGGGACCGGGACACGGCCCAGACUCCUACGGGAAGCAGCAGUAGGGAAUCUUCGGCAAUGGACGGAAGUCUGACCGAGCAACGCCGCGUGGGUGAAGAAGGUUUUCGGAUCGUAAAGCUCUGUUGUAAGAGAAGAACGAGUGUGAGAGUGGAAAGUUCACACUGUGACGGUAUCUUACCAGAAAGGGACGGCUAACUACGUG